UACCACAGUGUGCUGCUUUGUAUUGAGGAGAUGUCCUGGACUCACAGGGAAACUCAAGGCUACGGAAUGGUGACGCCAAGGAUGGUGGUCAUGGCGCCCCGAACCCUCCUCCUGCUGCUCUCGGGGGCUCUGGCCCUGACAGAGACCUGGGCGGGCUCCCACUCCAUGAGGUACUUCAGCGCUGCCGUGUCCCGGUCCGGCCGCAGGGAGCCCCGCUUCAUCGCCGUGGGCUACGUGGACGACACGCAGUUCGUGCGGUUCGACAGCGACUCUGCGAGUCCGAGGAUGGAGCCGCGGGCGCCGUGGGUGGAGCAGGAGCGGCGGAGUAUUGGGAAGAGGAGACGCGGAUCGCCAAGGCCCACGCACAGACUGACCAAGUGAACCUGCGGACCCUGCGCAGCUACUACAACCAGAGCGAGGCCGGGUCUCACACCCUCCAGUGGAUGAUUGGUUGCGACCUGGGGCCCGACGGGCGCCUCCUCUGCAGGUGUGAACAGUUCGCCUACGAUGGCAAGGAUGACCUCGCCCUGAACGAGGACCUGUGCUCCUGAACCGCAGCGGACACUGUGGCUCAGAUCUCCAAGCGCAAGUGUGAGGCGGCCAAAGCGACUGAAGGAAGGAGAGCCUACCUGGAGGGCACGUGAGUGGAGUGGCUCCACAGAUACCUGGAGAAUGGGAAGGAGAUGCUGCAGCGUGCGGACCCCCCCAAUUCACACGUGACCCACCAUCCUGUCUUUGACUAUGAGGCUACCCUGAGGUGCUGAGCCCUGGGCUUCUACCCUGCGGAGAUCAGACUGACCUGGCAGCGGGAGAGGGAGGACCAGACCCACGACGUGGAGCUCGUGGGGACCAGGCCUGCAGGGGAUGGAACCUUCCAGAAGUGGGCAGCUGUGGUGGUGCCUUCUGGAGAGAAGCAGAGAUUCACGUGCUAUGUGCAGCACCAGGGGCUGCCUGAGGCCCUCAUGCUGAGAUGGAAGCAGUCUUUCCAGCCCACCAUCCUCAUCAUGGGCAUCAUUGCUGGACAGGUUGUCUUUGCAGCUGUUGUCACUGAAGCUGUGGUCACUUUUGUGCUGUGGAGGAAGAAGAGCUCUGAGUUUUUUUCACAUGUGACAAAGAAGCACAGAUUUAUCACCCUGAUGAUUGUAGUGAUGGGGACCUGA